rnacentral:rRNA from 1 species
AUUGAACGCUGGCGGCAGGCCUAACACAUGCAAGUCGAGCGGAUGAGAAGAGCUUGCUCUUCGAUUCAGCGGCGGACGGGUGAGUAAUGCCUAGGAAUCUGCCUGGUAGUGGGGGACAACGUGUCGAAAGGAACGCUAAUACCGCAUACGUCCUACGGGAGAAAGCAGGGGACCUUCGGGCCUUGCGCUAUCAGAUGAGCCUAGGUCGGAUUAGCUAGUUGGUGAGGUAAUGGCUCACCAAGGCGACGAUCCGUAACUGGUCUGAGAGGAUGAUCAGUCACACUGGAACUGAGACACGGUCCAGACUCCUACGGGAGGCAGCAGUGGGGAAUAUUGGACAAUGGGCGAAAGCCUGAUCCAGCCAUGCCGCGUGUGUGAAGAAGGUCUUCGGAUUGUAAAGCACUUUAAGUUGGGAGGAAGGGUUGUAGAUUAAUACUCUGCAAUUUUGACGUUACCGACAGAAUAAGCACCGGCUAACUCUGUGCCAGCAGCAGCCGCGGUAA